AUGGGGUCGGUGGUGCUGCCGACGCUGCGGCGGAAGCGGGAGGUCGACGCCAUCCGCGACACCCUCGACAAGGUCCUUGUCCUCCGAUUCGGCCGCGCCUCCGACGCCGCCUGCCUCCAGCUCGACGACGUCCUCGCAAAAGCUUCUUGGGACAUAUCCAAAUUUGCAGCAGUAGCAUUAGUUGACAUGGAUUCUGAGGAGAUUCAAGUGUAUGUUGACUAUUUUGAUAUCACGUUGGUCCCAGCAAUCAUUUUUUUCUUCAAUGCUCAUCACAUGAAAAUGGAUUCAGGGACACCUGAUCACACAAAAUGGAUAGGCUCUUUCAGCAGCAAGCAAGACUUCAUUGAUGUUGUUGAGGCAGUAUUCAGGGGUGCGAUGAAAGGCAAACUGAUAGUGUCUUGCCCACUUCCACCAGAGAGGAUACCCAGAUUCCAGCUUCUUUUCAAGGAUGUCUAA
rnacentral:rRNA from 1 species